GAUGAACGCUGGCGGCGUGCCUAAUACAUGCAAGUCGAGCGAACGGACGAGAAGCUUGCUUCUCUGAUGUUAGCGGCGGACGGGUGAGUAACACGUGGAUAACCUACCUAUAAGACUGGGAUAACUUCGGGAAACCGGAGCUAAUACCGGAUAAUAUUUUGAACCGCAUGGUUCAAAAGUGAAAGACGGUCUUGCUGUCACUUAUAGAUGGAUCCGCGCUGCAUUAGCUAGUUGGUAAGGUAACGGCUUACCAAGGCAACGAUGCAUAGCCGACCUGAGAGGGUGAUCGGCUACACUGGAACUGAGACACGGUCCAGACUCCUACGGGAGGCAGCAGUAGGGAAUCUUCCGAAAAGGGCGAAAGCCUGACGGAGCAACGCCGCGUGAGUGAUGAAGGUCUUCGGAUCGUAAAACUCUGUUAUUAGGGAAGAACAUAUGUGUAAGUAACUGUGCACAUCUUGACGGUACCUAAUCAGAAAGCCACGGCUAACUACGUG
rnacentral:rRNA from 1 species